rnacentral:rRNA from 1 species
GAAUUCCAGCUUGCUGGAAUGACCGUACCAUACGAAUAAGGGGCCGCUAAACUCGUGCCAGCAGCGGCGGUAAUACGAGUGCCCCAAGCGUUAUCCGGAAUUAUUGGGCGUAAAGCGUGGGUAGGCGGUCUUGAUAGUGGUUGGUUAAAUGCCGAGGCUUAACCUCGGUCCGGCCGAUCAAACGUCAAGACUAGAGCAGGUGAGAGGCUGAUGGAACUUACCAAGUAGGGGUGAAAUCCGUUGAUAUGGUANGGAACACCAAAGGCGAAGGCAUUCAGCUGGUGCCUGGCUGACGCUGAGCCACGAAAGCGUGGGGAGAGAAAAGGAUUAGAUACCCUUGUAUUCCACGCCCUAAACGAUGCCAACUAGCCGUUGGGAGUAUCGACCCUCUCAGUGGCGAAGCUAACGCGUUAAGUUGGCCGCCUGGGAAGUACGGCCGCAAGGCUAAAACUCAAAGGAAUAGACGGGGGCUCGCACAAGCGGUGGACCAUGUGGUUUAAUUCGACGACACGCGAGGAACCUUACCAGGGCUAGACAGCCUGAUGAAAGCCCAUCGAAAGACGGGUCUUCUUACAAGGACAUCAGGUCCAGGUGCUGCACGGUUGUCGUCAGUUUGUACUGUGAAGCGCUCCCUUAAUUGGGGAAACAAACGCAACCCUUACUCUGCGUUACAAGUGUCGCAGGGGACUGCCUCUGGAUAAGAGGAGGAAGGUGGGGACGACGUCAAAUCAGCGUGGCCCUUUGAUGCCCUGGGCGACACACAUGGUACAAUGGCCAAGACAAUGGGUUGCCAAGCCGUAAGGCGGAGCUAAUCCCAUCAAACUUGGUCCCAGUUCGGAUUGAGGGCUGCAAUUCGCCCUCAUGAAGCUGGAAUCGCUAGUAAUCGCGAAUCAGCCAUGUCGCGGUGAAUACGUUCUCGAGCCUUGUACUCACUGCCCGUCACAUUAGGGAAGCCGGUAGUACCCGAAGUGUCGUCUUAGACGACCCUAAGGUAAGAUCGGUGACCAGAAUGAAGUCGUAACAAGGUAACCUUAAUUAAAA